GAACACUGUUACCUUCCCACCGAGGUGAUCCCUAUUUAUCUACUUGCAUUUGCAUGCUUUCGAACCGCUAGGUUGGCGGGAGCUGGGACAAGCGACGGGCGCUCACUCCGUCGCGUGGAUUCGAUCUUACGACUGCUUGGUCUUCUGACCCUGCAGCACAGGCUUCUGCGGUAUAGCCCGCAGCACCACCACGUCCCAUUACUUUUACAUAGCAAAUGUAAUAUCAAAGUUGUUAGUAUAGCUGAUGCAUUGGGACAAUUCUUCUUUCAGUUGUUGUUUGUUUGUUCCCUAAACCAAACAGGAGCCCAUCUCCAAAUUCUCUGGGAGUCUUUUUGACUCUAGUGAUAACAUCCGGGAUCAAAGAACCCCUAGAGCUGGUCUUCAGCAGGAGAAGCAGAAAGCAGGACCAAAGGGAAAACCCUUUGCAGCAGCUGGCAACAGACAGCCGGUUCCACCAGAAGCCACAAACAGCACCCUAGUAGAUGAUGGCAAGUUUUCAAAGGAGAACAAGGACCAAGGCCCAGGAGCUGCAGAUGCCACCCAGCCGCCUUUGAAGGGAAUUUUAAUCGCACACGUAUCCAAAGACAGCCCAAUAGACGUGGCUGUAGUGCCAUCUGAAGACAAAGUGUUGGAGGAUGCCCUUAUUUCAGAAGCCAGCACACCCGACUCUGGUCCUGUUGAGGAACCAUCUAAAAGUGGCCCAUUCCAGAAGAUAAAUCAUGUUAUAACAAUACCUCGUAUCAUUCUAACACGUCCUUCCACAUCAGAUGAAGAUACCGACCAGCUAACACAGGAUCCUGACGAUCUUGAGCUAGAGGAGACAGAAAACACUGAAAGCCACCUCUAUUCAGACUGUUUAAACAAUGCUUUUUACCCUCCUUAAUAAAAUAAUUCUUUUUAGAAAAAGAACCAGAACGUCAGUGUAUUUCUUGUUGUUUUUCAGUUGCUUGGACAAGAAAUUGGAAGCUGUUAUGGUGGAUGAUGAGAUACUGAGCUGAGGUCAUGGAGAAGGCCUUGGUGUGGGUGGGUGUGUGGGUGUGAGAAGAUCUCAAGGUGGCUAGCCCUCAAGGGCAGGUAAGGGAAAGGUGAGUCAGGUAGACCAGGGAGAGGCAAGGCAACUCAUGUGGAAGGCACAUGGUAGCAUUUAUUUACAUAUAUUUCAAGUGACACACAUAUAAUUUUACAGCUACAACUUAACACCUAAUACAACUAGUUUUAAGCAAGCAAUGCAG
rnacentral:lncRNA from 1 species